ensembl:lncRNA
UCUCAGGGCGGGGUAUGGACAUCUGGCAGGGCAAAGCCAUAGUGGCAGCAGUAGGCAGAUGGUGCGGGGCAGGGGCAAGGCUUCACUGUCAGCUGCUGCUGGGCCACAUGAGGCCCACAGGCCAUGGGUUGGAUAUGACUAGUCUAAGCUGUUUCCUUCUAUGUCCUUUCCUCUGCUUUGUUUUUGAAGUUGUGGCUAUAGAAUAAGCAAAACAUAAAUAACCAGUUAAAAGCUCAGAAGAGAAGGGCAGUCAUAGACAGUACAGAAUACUUCUUGGGUUGUUCCUAGAUAAUACAUUAUUAUGGGCUGUUUGCCAUUUUCAGCCACUUGUGUGUUGCCAUGACCUUUUAAAUACAUGGAAGUAUUCAGGUAGGAAAAGACCAUAGGAGUUGACCUUAUUCAACCUCCUACUAAAAGAGCAGCUACAUUUGAAUAAAACUAGAUUACUAAAGACUUGAAAAAGAAUGCUGGCACCACUCAUUUUUUCCAAAUCCCUGGCUAAAUUUUGAACUGAAUUCCUUUGUCACCUCAGAUACCUAGCUGGAACAAAUUAGUACUUAUACAAGUCUAAUUUGUUCUCCAUUUCUCUGCUGAAAUACUGGCCCCUGUAAGGAAAUAGGCACUGUGGAAAGGAAGGAUGUCUUUAUGGUAAAGUCAGUGAGUUAUGAAAAUAUCAUGGUUUUGUAACUUUGCUAUUGGUAUUCCACAUCAUAACAUCAUGGACAAAAGAGAAGAACUACGUAUCCCAGAGGACCUCACGGUCAGAGAAGGAAGAUACAUCACGGAAGAUACGUCAUCUGGUUGCGCGCGGUCUUUUUCACUUUCGCUUGCUGCCAGGGAGAGGAGUGGGUGUGCUUCCAAGCCGUGCGCCUUCAUCAAGUUUUGCAAAAGCUACAUUUGAAAUGCAGCACUUUCGCUCAGCAGAAUCAGCCACACAAACUUUCCAAGCCUUCAAAUCAAUGCUGCCUUCACCUUAGUAGGUAUGAAGACCAUCUAAAGAACCUGAAGGUGCACAAAUCCAUAGGACCCAACAAGAACUAUCCAUGAGUUAUGAGGGAAGUGGCUGAAGAUGCCAAGCUGCUAUUCAUCAUAUUUGAAAGGUCAUGGCAGUCUAGUGAAGUUCCCACCAACUGGAAAAGGGGAAACAUAAUCCCCAUUUUCAAGAAGGAAAAAAAGAAGAUCCAGGGAGCUAGAGGCCAGUCAGUCUCACCACUGUGCCUGGCAAGAUCAUGGAACAGAUCCUCCUGAAGGCUCUACUAAGGCACAUGGGAAAUAAAGACAAGGUGACUCGUGGUAACCAACGUGACUUCACCAAGGAUAAGUCAUGCCUGACAGACAUGGUGGCCUUUUAUGAUGGAGUUACAGCAUCAAUGUAUAAAGGAAAAGUAAAUGAUGUCAUCUACCUGGACUUGUGCAAAGCAUUUGACACUGUCCCACACAACAUCCUGGUCAUCAAAUUGGAAGAAAAUAAAUUUGAUGGAUGGACUACUCACUGAAUAAGGGAUUGGCUGGAUGGUUGCACUCAGAAAGUUGUGGUCAAUAGCUCAGUUUCCAAGCGGAGAUUGAUGAUGAGAUGAGUGGCGUUCCUCAGGGAUUGGUGUUGGGAUUGGUAUUAUAUAAUAUCUUUGUAGGCAACAUGGACAGUUGGAUUGCACCCUCAGCAAGUUUGCAGGUGACAUCAAGCUGAGUUGUAUAGUUAACACGCUAGAGGGAAGGAAUGCCAUUCAGAGGGACCUGGACAGGCUUGAGAGGUGGGCCCAUGCCAACCUCAUGAAGUUCAAAGAGGUGAAGUCCUACACCUGGGUCAAGGCACUCUCAAGCACAGAUACAGGUUGGGUGGAAAAUGGCUUGAGAGCAGCCCUGAAAAGAAGGAUUUGACUGUGUGAUUGAUGAAAGAUUCAACAAGAGCUGGCAAGUGUGCACUUCCAGCCCAGAAGGCCAACUGUAUCCUGGGUUGCAUCAAGAAAAGUAUGACCUGGAAGUCAAAGGAGGUGAUUCUGACGCUCUACUCUGUGGAAAGACCUCACCUAGAGUACUGCAUCUGGUUCUGGAGCUCCCAGCACAAGAAGGACAUGGAGUUCUUUGAGCAGGUUCAGAGGAGGGCCACGAAGAUGAUCAGAGGGCUGGAGCACCUCCUCUACGCUCCAUAGCCUGGAGAAGAGAAGGCUCUGAAGAAGAUUUUGUAGCAGCCUUCCAGUACUUGAAAGGGGACUACAGGAAAGCUGGGGAGGGACUUUUUAGAAGGGCCAGUAGCAUCAGGAAAAGUGGAAAUAGUUUUGAGCUGGAAGGGUGUGGAUUUAGACUAGAUAUUAGGAAGAAAUUAUUUACUGUGAGGGUGGUGAAGUGCUGGAACAGGUUGCCCAGUGAGGUUGUGAAUGCCCUCUCCUUAGAAACAUUCAAGGUCAGGUUGAAUGGGACUUCAAGCAACCUGGUCCAGACAGAGGUGUCCCUGCCUAUAGCAAGUGUGUUGGAACUAGAUGAUACUAAAGGUCCCUUCCAACCCUAACUAUUCUAUGAUUCUAUGAUUAAAGCCUAUGAAUUUUAAACUGGAAUUUGGAAUCCUGCCAUUAAAUAAUCUUAAACAAGAUGGUAUGCUAUUUGUUGAAUCAAUGGAGUUUUAAUGUCAGUAGCAUUCUUCUUGUGAAAUAUCUUUGUUUUGUUGCUCUGAGCAGAAAUCAGUUCAAUCUGAAAUUAAGAUGGGAGGAAGCAAAAACCAAAAAAGAGCAUUCUGGUGUAUCUCUUGAUAAUCUACUGUCAAUUACCACUGGUUUUACAUAAAUUAGUGUGUGAAUUGUUAUGCCAGUGCAAAUGUCACAAAGAUGAAAACCAUCAGUUCUCCUUCAUCCUUUUUGUGAAAUAAUUUGUGACCCUCAAUCUCUCCUCCCAGAGGUGUGACCUAUUUCUCUUGUUACUGCAAGGCAGAUUGUCAGUGCCAGUUUUCCAGAGACAGAAGAGGUUCUAUGCACAGUCAGUGUAAAGGGCUGUGCAAAGGAUCCCCCAUUUAACAGUGUAAACUUGUCAGGAAGAAAAGAAGUGGGUACAGGUAACUUAACACCUGAAUUUUGAGCAAUGACUUGUGUAUCCAAAUUGUAUUGGUAACCCUUUCUAUGCAAUUUCCAGGUGCUUAAGGAUGCCCUCGGUACUGUCAACAUCUUCCUGUGGGGAUGACUAGAGGCUAUGAAGCCUCAUUUCAGGGUUUUGCUUACAGUGUUUUAUUGCUGCAGUGGGCUGAAUUAAAUUCCAGCAUCCAUAAUGUGUGGUUUGUAAUGUAAGGGAAAGCAAGUACACUACACUUGUGAGAUAUAACAGGCAUAUUUAAGCAUUUUGAUUUUAAACAUUCAGUCUUUCAUUGGCUAGCUUGAAAAGAGGUUACAGAACUUAUCAUUUCAUACAGAGACUAAGUUUAGAAGUUGAAAGCAUGUUAUAGCUUAUCAUAUGUAAUACUUCUCAAAUACUAUGCCAGUAAGCUUGGUUUAAAAACAUAAUAGAACAGAUUCUUAGCAGGAUAAGGUAGCUACAAAUACAGUAGCACAGCUGCAGUAUUCUUGAACGAGCAACAUAGCAACAUACAUAAAUGUCACAAGUUAGUUUGGUUGCGAAGCUUCGCAGCAUUCUUCAAACUGUGAUUACAGUGCAACAAAGGAUGCUGUACUCUCCAGACAAGACUGGGUGAUGCAGUGGUGAUGCAGUGCAUUUACAUCUGGGAAAGUUAUAAAGUACAGAGCAUAAGGAUUUUGGAUCCUCUUACUGCUAAGUUAUUAGGAUGUCAACCAGUUAAAC